CAGGAAGUCAGUUAUGAGACAAAAGAGAAGCAGACAUGUCCAGUUAGCUCGUGCAAGCCUUGGAAAAGAUAAUUCUGUGCUGUUCUCCCAGGAGCUUCUUCCACGCUCGAACCCUGCAAGAUGGAGGUCAACAAGCACUUUUGGAACAGCGAACACCCUGCACUGCUGACGGUUAGGAGUCGGAGUUU